UACGGAGGGUGCAAGCGUUAUCCGGAUUUACUGGGUUUAAAGGGUGCGUAGGCGGGCAUGUAAGUCAGUGGUGAAAUACCGGAGCUUAACUUCGGAACUGCCAUUGAUACUAUAUGUCUUGAAUAUUGUGGAGGUAAGCGGAAUAUGUCAUGUAGCGGUGAAAUGCAUAGAUAUGACAUAGAGCACCGAUUGCGGAGGCAGCUUGCUACGCAAAUAUUGACGCUGAGGCACGAAAGCGUGGGGAGCAAACAGG
rnacentral:rRNA from 1 species